rnacentral:lncRNA from 1 species
CGUCAAAACUGUCCAACCCUAAUUCUGAACAGAAAAAGUAUAUAUAUGGUGUAAUCUGCGUACCGGCGCCCCGCGCCAGCCCGUCUGCGCCACGCGCAGACUGACAGAAUCUUCAGGCAAUUCCAGCAUCGUUUCUGCGCGGCGCGCCAGCUUGACAGAAUCUACAGACACUUCUAGCAGCUUCUGAGCGCGGCGCGUGAUGCUUUCUUGGUCUAGGCGCAGUACACUUCUUUUCCUUCACUUUUUGGCCUCAAAUCCUUGUGUUCCGAGCAUUCUUGUCAUGAUUCUUUUCCUCUUUAUUCUUGCAUAAAAACAUACUAAAUGCUAUCUAGAAAUGCCCUAAAAUGUGGUUAAAACAUAGUAAUGACGUGAAGUCAUCA